UGGGGAAUCUUGCGCAAUGGGCGAAAGCCUGACGCAGCAACGCCGCGUGUGGGACGAAGGCCUUCUGGGUUGUAAACCACUUUCAGCAGGGACGAUUGUGACGGUACCUGCAGAAGAAGCCCCGGCCAACUACGUGCCAGCAGCCGCGGUAAUACGUAGGGGGCGAGCGUUGUCCGGAAUUAUUGGGCGUAAAGAGCUCGUAGGCGGCUUGGCAAGUCACGUGUGAAAUCUCCAGGCUCAACCUGGUGAUGCCACGUGAUACUGCCAUGGCUUGAGUCCGGUAGGGGACCAUGGAAUUCCUGGUGUAGCGGUGAAAUGCGCAGAUAUCAGGAGGAACACCAGUGGCGAAGGCGGUGGUCUGGGCCGGUACUGACGCUGAGGAGCGAAAGCGUGGGGAGCGAACAGGAUUAGAUACCCCCGUAGUCC
rnacentral:rRNA from 1 species